GACGUAGGGCGCGAGCGUUGUCCGGAUUUAUUGGGCGUAAAGAGCUCGUAGGCGGCUUGUCGCGUCGACUGUGAAAUCCCCGCGGCUCAACUGCGGGUCUGCAGUCGAUACGGGCAGGCUAGAGUUCGGUAGGGGAGACUGGAAUUCCUGGUGUAGCGGUGAAAUGCGUAGAUAUCAGGAGGAACACCGAUGGCGAAGGCAGGUCUCUGGGCCGAUACUGACGCUGAGGAGCGAAAGCGUGGGGAGCAAACAGG
rnacentral:rRNA from 1 species